rnacentral:rRNA from 1 species
GAUGAACGCUGGCGGCGUGCCUAAUACAUGCAAGUCGAGCGAACGGACGAGAAGCUUGCUUCUCUGAUGUUAGCGGCGGACGGGUGAGUAACACGUGGAUAACCUACUUAUAUGACUGGGAUAAAUUCGGGAAACCGGAGCUAAUACCGGAUAAUAUUUUGAACCGCAUGGUUCAAAAGUGAAAGAAGGUAUUGCUGUCACUUAUAGAUGGAUCCGCGCUGGAUUAGCUAGUUGGUAAGGUAACGGCUUACCAAGGCAACGAUGCAUAGCCGACCUGAGAGGAUGAUCAGCCACACUGGAACUGAGACACGGUCCAGACUCCUACGGGAGGCAGCAGUGGGGAAUCUUCCACAAUGGGCGAAAGCCUGACGGAGCAACACCGCGUGAGUGAUGAAGGUCUUCGGGUCGUAAAGCUCUGUUGUUGGGAAAGAACAUAAGUAUGAUAAACUGUGGACAUCCUGACGGUACCUAAUCAAAAAGCCACGGCUAACUUCGUG